UACGAAGGGUGCAAGCGUUACUCGGGAUUACUGGGCGUAAAGCGUGCGUAGGUGGUUUGUUAAGUCUGAUGUGAAAGCCCUGGGCUCAACCUGGGAAUGGCAUUGGAUACUGGCGAGCUAGAGUGCGGUAGAGGGUAGUGGAAUUCCCGGUGUAGCAGUGAAAUGCGUAGAGAUCGGGAGGAACAUCUGUGGCGAAGGCGGCGACCUGGGCCAAUACUGACACUGAGGUGCGAAAGCGUGGGGAGCAAACAGG
rnacentral:rRNA from 1 species